AGCACUCUUUACCGUUUUGCUUAAAUCAAGUGAGGCAACACUGUUCUUUUCGGUUUAAUCGCUGAAUCCCGUUUUACGGAACGCGACAUUAAUCUAGUAUCUCGAUUCUGUGGAAGGGCCUUUGUGCUUGCACAGGUCCUUCCAUGAAGUGUUAUUGGGCUUACACAACUCCCAAUAGACGCGAAGUUCUU
rnacentral:snRNA from 1 species